rnacentral:misc_RNA from 1 species
AAAGUCGUAACAAGGUUUCCGUAGGUGAACCUGCGGAAGGAUCAUUAACACGUAUCCAACGUUAACCCCCCUGUGAACCUUCAGUGUGCUCGUACGCUUUGUUAGAAAGUAGCAAUCCCUGGUAAAUCAUCGCCAAACAGUUUUCGAUUCAGGGAUGUCUGCGAAGAGUGUGCAUGUUGCGCGAGGUAAGUGGCCUGGCAUCCCCAAGUAGUUAUUGUCUGAAAGUGUCAUUAACUGCGUAAGGAUGGCGCAGUCACGAUCGUUGGAGGCCGACACGGCCGACGACCGGGUCACCGGGCUCACGCCCCCUUAUCACAAAACCCAUGCAUGAAGACGCGCCUGCGCUAAAACCGCGGCGACCAAAAACCGAACAACUGUUAACAAUGGAUAUCUUGGUUCUC